rnacentral:rRNA from 1 species
GAUGAACGCUGGCGGCGUGCUUAACACAUGCAAGUCGAACGGUGAACACGGAGCUUGCUCUGUGGGAUCAGUGGCGAACGGGUGAGUAACACGUGAGCAACCUGCCCCUGACUCUGGGAUAAGCGCUGGAAACGGCGUCUAAUACUGGAUAUGUGACGUGACCGCAUGGUCUGCGUCUGGAAAGAAUUUCGGUUGGGGAUGGGCUCGCGGCCUAUCAGCUUGUUGGUGAGGUAAUGGCUCACCAAGGCGUCGACGGGUAGCCGGCCUGAGAGGGUGACCGGCCACACUGGGACUGAGACACGGCCCAGACUCCUACGGGAGGCAGCAGUGGGGAAUAUUGCACAAUGGGCGCAAGCCUGAUGCAGCAACGCCGCGUGAGGGACGACGGCCUUCGGGUUGUAAACCUCUUUUAGCAGGGAAGAAGCGAAAGUGACGGUACCUGCAGAAAAAGCGCCGGCUAACUACGUGCCAGCAGCCGCGGUAAUACGUAGGGCGCAAGCGUUAUCCGGAAUUAUUGGGCGUAAAGAGCUCGUAGGCGGUUUGUCGCGUCUGCUGUGAAAUCCGGAGGCUCAACCUCCGGCCUGCAGUGGGUACGGGCAGACUAGAGUGCGGUAGGGGAGAUUGGAAUUCCUGGUGUAGCGGUGGAAUGCGCAGAUAUCAGGAGGAACACCGAUGGCGAAGGCAGAUCUCUGGGCCGUAACUGACGCUGAGGAGCGAAAGGGUGGGGAGCAAACAGGCUUAGAUACCCUGGUAGUCCACCCCGUAAACGUUGGGAACUAGUUGUGGGGUCCAUUCCACGGAUUCCGUGACGCAGCUAACGCAUUAAGU